rnacentral:lncRNA from 1 species
GGCAAAGACGGUGGCCGGCGGCGGGGCUUUGGGCCAGGGAAGAAAGGGAAGAGGGAGAGGAAAAAGGGGAGGGGCUUACCUCGAGCUCCGACAAUAUCGUCAGCUCCAAUUUUCGGCGAGCACAAGUACGGGAGACCUUGACUUCAACCGGAGAAAACAAGGAGAAAGGAGAGAGAGAACCGGUGAUCACUAUGGGUUGUUUAGGAGGGGG